rnacentral:lncRNA from 1 species
GAACGAGGGGAGCAACGUUUUUUGGCAUCUUCUUUUUCCAUUAAUUUUCCUUUUCACUUUUCUCACACUUAAACAACAUCAGUUUCCUUGACGGAAAUCAAACACCCCUUUGCUCCUUCCGUCCGAAACUCUCCACAAAAAAUAACAGCCCCGACCCAUCUCCGGCGAACUCAACUUCCACUUCCUCUGUUUUUUCCCUCCGAUCCAACUCAGCAUUCAAUUCACCAUUGCCUCGACAUUUCCGACUCUGCAGCAUACUUCACACGCAACUGUAACUCACAUUACCGGUAAAGUUCGGUUUCAAAGUUCUUAUUGUGUUAUAUACAUUAUGUCAUUUCUGUUUGUUUACUGUUGUACAAAUCUGUUGCCAAUAUUCAAAAAUGUUUGCAUACUAUGCUUUUUGCGUUAUGAUAUCCAUACAUACGCGCAUACAUUAUCCUUAUCCUGUUGUAUUGAUGAAUGUGUUAAUGAUAGGCUACUGAUCUGUUUGACUCGUAUCUAUAAUUCGGAGAUUUGUUAGCGGUUAUGUUAAAGACUUUGUCGCGUCAGAGUUCUUCAAUUUUGCUAACUCUUUGUGUUCUAGUUGAUGAUAAGUAUCAUUUUCAUUAUUAAUUGGUUUUCAAUUUGAAGAAUAGAAUAUGUUGCAUCUAUUAUAGUUGUAUGGUUUAAAAUUCAAUUGAAUUAAUGUGACUGUAGAGUGAUAAGCUUAGUUUAUAAAAGUAUCAUUCUAUUCUAUUGUUGUUAAUAUGAUGAUAUACGGUGGAGUAUAGGUGCAUUUGGAUUGUCACAGUUUGUAAAACAAAUAUAAAAGAUGUUUCGUUAUCAUACUAUGCAAGUUGCAUAUAUAUAUAUUGGAUACAUAGAAACUACAUAAUA